rnacentral:rRNA from 1 species
UGGGGAAUUUUGGACAAUGGGCGAAAGCCUGAUCCAGCAAUGCCGCGUGUGUGAAGAAGGCCUUCGGGUUGUAAAGCACUUUUGUCCGGAAAGAAAUCCUUGGCUCUAAUACAGUCGGGGGAUGACGGUACCGGAAGAAUAAGCACCGGCUAACUACGUGCCAGCAGCCGCGGUAAUACGUAGGGUGCAAGCGUUAAUCGGAAUUACUGGGCGUAAAGCGUGCGCAGGCGGUUUGCUAAGACCGAUGUGAAAUCCCCGGGCUCAACCUGGGAACUGCAUUGGUGACUGGCAGGCUAGAGUAUGGCAGAGGGGGGUAGAAUUCCACGUGUAGCAGUGAAAUGCGUAGAGAUGUGGAGGAAUACCGAUGGCGAAGGCAGCCCCCUGGGCCAAUACUGACGCUCAUGCACGAAAAGCGUGGGGAGCAAACAGGAUUAGAUACCCUGGUAGUCCACGCCCUAAAACGAUGUCAACUAGUUGUUGGGGAUUCAUUUCCUUAGUAACGUAGCUAACGCGUGAAGUUGACCGCCUGGGGAGUACGGUCG